UGAAUAUAGUGCAUAUGUCUGAUUGGUCUCAUUUUCAAAAUAAACAUACAUAACAUCCAAUAGUUCUUCAGUAACACAUUUUUGAAAUGUCUAGAAACUACAUUUACAAUGGAUGCUUUCACGUUGAAAAGUGGUAAAGUACGAGAUAAACGAAACAGAAAGUUUUUGUUCAUUAUGCCUGAAUAUAAAUUAAAGGAUAUUUCUCUGCUGAAAAGAAUAUUUCACGACAAAGGCGAGUAUUUAAUAUUUGCUAAACACGACAAAUCGUUGAGGGUAUAUUUUGUUUGCAAAGUCAACAAGUGGAGACAUUAUGACAUAAAAACAUUCAAUACUAGAUGUGAGUUUUUAGAUGAAUCCUGGAAGGAGCUUGAUGAUAUUAUACAUUUCUGUAAACAUGAAAGCCAAUCGUUUAAAGAGAUGGGUACCAAGAAAACUUGAAUCGUGGGAGAAGGAAUGAUUUACGUAACGCGAUUGAAGACCAAAAGAAUGGUUAUAACGAAGAGGAAAUGGCCAAGAAAUAUAAAGGGACAUGGAAACGGUGGAGACAAUUCAUCCGAGCUAUUGCCAGCGAUGAAAAAAUGGCAGAACGUCAAAACAUGACAGAACAGUAGGGAAAACACUGCACACGAAUGCGCACUUUGAUCGAUUACAAUUUCAAUUAAUUAAUUUAAUUUAUUUAAUUUAUUAAAUUUAUUUAAUUUAUUGAAUUUAUUCAAUUUAUUUAAUUUAUGUAAUUUAUUUAAUUUAUUUAAUACUAUUU
rnacentral:lncRNA from 1 species